AUUGAACGCUGGCGGGAGGCCUAACACAUGCAAGUCGAGCGGAGCGGCGGACGGGUGAGUAAUGCCUAGGAAUCUGCCCGGUAGCGGGGGAUAACGUCGCGAAAGGGGCGCUAAUACCGCAUACUAUCAGAUCAGCCUAAAUCGUAGUAGCUAGUUGGUGGGGUAAAGGCUUACCAAGGCGACGAUCCGUAACUGGUCUGAGAGUAUGACCAGUCACACGGGAACUGAGACACGGUCCAGACUCCUAAGGGAGGCAGCAGUGGGGAAUAUUGGACAAUGGGCGAAACCCUGAUCUAGCCAUGCCGCGUGUGUGAAGAAGGCCUUCGGUUUGUAAAGAACUGUUGGCUGGACAGCGUUACCUGCAGAAUAAGCACCGGCUAACUACGUGCCAGCAGCCGCGGUAAUUC
rnacentral:rRNA from 1 species